UGGGGAAUCUUGCGCAAUGGGCGAAAGCCUGACGCAGCGACGCCGCGUGAGUGAUGAAGGCCUUCGGGUUGUAAAGCUCUGUGGGGAGAGACGAAUAAGUCGGAGUGAAUAUCUCCGAUGAUGACGGUAUCUUCUUAGCAAGCACCGGCUAACUCUGUGCCAGCAGCCGCGGUAAUACAGAGGGUGCAAACGUUGUUCGGAAUUACUGGGCGUAAAGCGCAUGUAGGCUGCUUUGCAGGUCGGGUGUGAAAUCCCUCGGCUCAACCGAGGACGUGCAUUCGAAACCGCAAAGCUUGAGUCCCGGAGAGGGUGGUGGAAUUCUCGGUGUAGAGGUGAAAUUCGUAGAUAUCGGGAGGAACACCGGCGGCGAAGGCGGCCACCUGGACGAGGACUGACGCUGAGAUGCGAAAGCGUGGGGAGCAAACAG
rnacentral:rRNA from 1 species